rnacentral:rRNA from 2 species
UACGGAGGGAGCUAGCGUUAUUCGGAAUUACUGGGCGUAAAGCGUACGUAGGCGGCUUUGUAAGUUAGAGGUGAAAGCCUGGAGCUCAACUCCAGAACUGCCUUUAAAACUGCAUCGCUUGAAUCCAGGAGAGGUGAGUGGAAUUCCGAGUGUAGAGGUGAAAUUCGUAGAUAUUCGGAAGAACACCAGUGGCGAAGGCGGCUCACUGGACUGGUAUUGACGCUGAGGUACGAAAGCGUGGGGAGCAAACAGG